GUAGCAUCAAGUUUCCUUUUCUUUCCUCGCAAAACAGAAGUGUUCUUUUGGCUUUGCUCUUUAUUUAGCUCGGUUGGGAAGAUAUUGUUCUGGUAAUGGAGGUAUUUUGCACACAAUGUAUUCCAUAAGAUCUUUCAAAAUGUUUGCAGUGAUAUUCUUCUGAAAACAGAAAUUCAGGGGAAAGCGGAGGAGUAUGAAAGUUCCUAUUGACAUUUAUGGAGAACAACCUCGUACCCUGCAGGGUUUUAGAAAGCUAAAGCUUUCGAAUCUUUGAAGAGUACUCGCAAAACACCCAACUUGAACGAGUAUAAAGGAAAUGGCAUCGUCACAUGUCAUGUCACGUGUAUAUUACCAGAUUUCCUCAAGGACAAGGGGUCAAAAUCACCGGUGACUGUGUCUGUGAUCAUACAUACCUGAU